ensembl:lncRNA
GUGAGUCUGAGUGAACUCCGGGAGUUGGUGAUGGACAGGGAGGCCUGGCGUGCUGCGAUUCAUGGGGUCGCAAAGAGUCGGACACGACUGAGCGAUUGAUCUCAUCUGAUCGGAUUGGCCAAGAAAAUGUAUAGACCCUGCCAACUCAGUGGCUUUGAAUUAUAGUCGACAGUUAUGGUGACCACGAAGGGACCCAGAGUGGACUUCCUUUCUUCGACUGGACUCCACGAGGAACCAGAGCUUUGGUACCAGCAGUGGCCCCUUGUGCCCAUCCGCAUCCUUGGGGAGUGCUGACGAAUUUGAGUAAGUCUCUCCUGGUUUUUGAAUCUCACAUAUUGGUUGAGAUUCUGAGUUUUAUUUGGCGGUGGAGCAGGUUACCUGCCACCUCCUAGUAGGAACGUACUGGUGGGGAGGGGGGCACGACUUGGGUCAAACAUCCAAGGACUACCCAAUUAUGGUCUAGACAGUGAGUGGGGCUCAGUAGAAAGAUACUGAGGAAUUCCAGUCAAAAAAUUCCAGUCAAAAGAUACUGGGUGGGGGGCUGGCUGAAAGAUGCCAGGAGAAUUGCCCACCCAGUGGAAAGGUACUGAGUAGGGGGGUCUUGAUUGGAAAAAAUCAAGGAAUACCCGGGUCUCGGCUGAAAGAUUCUCAGGUCGCUCCAUUGUAGGGGACUGUAUGGUCUUGACUGAGUGGUUAAGUAAAAGGCUAAUCUGACACUUUCCCUCAAUUUGACUGCCUUUAUAGAAAUUGUCAGGAUAAAAGUGAGGAAAAUACAUGAGAGCUUUGCUCUGAAGAAAAAAGACAAGACUCCUCCUGGUCUGUUUUGGUUUUCUCAGGUGACUGAGAAAUUCAUGGGAGCGGUUCAGGCCUACUCCUCAUACCAUGCAGUGGUCCCAUAGGGAAACCCACACAUUAAUUAAAAUGCUUGCUCAUCCGGGGGUCACACAUGAGAACUGGCCAUUCAGCAACCUGAGCAGCCAUGGUGGCCUUAGAUUGCUGGAGGCAGAAUCCGAGACACAUAAGACAAGCUGAAACGAGUCUGGGGUGACUCCUGGAGAAGUUAAGUUCACAAGAAGCACAUGGGCCCACUACACAAGUUCACUAGUGAGUUUUCUCCCUGACAAAUUCAGCUUAAAAUGGGAAACAGAAUCUCUCAAAAACAGAAACAAAGGGGUAUCAGAAAGACCAGCGUGUGACUAACACUCCAGCCAGAUUCAUGUACAAUACAUACGGAGCACUAGUUAAUUGGAGAAAUUAUACUGAAGGAAAUCUCAACCUAAAAUGGUCAAAUUGGGGUUCUUUUGAUAUUCCGAAAUUGAUAUUUUUUUGCAUGCACAAUUUGAAAAGGUCGGUGUGCUUACUUUGACUGGUAUCUAGAAGCUUCUAAAACAGGAAAUGAUAGAGUAACUUCUUCACAGAAAAUCAACGAGAAAAUGCUUGAAAUUAUACCAAGACUAAAAAGGCUGCUAGCACUGACUUUGCCAGGUCUCAGGUCUAGUCAAACUGGGACGUCACGUUUGACAUUUAUGGCAUUUGGUUUUUGAUUUCUGGGCAUCACUUUACCACAUUUUGGGGGCACUCUUGCCACUUGGCUUUUGAUUUCUGGGCAUCUCUUUGUCUUUUGUUUCAUUUGGAGUGUGACUCCUGGCUGGUGAAAUUCUGCUUCAGUUUGGUUUUGUUCUUUUGGUUUGAGUGCACAGACAUCUGGUAUAAACUGUUUGAGCUAAUGUGGGAAUUGCUCACUGUAAAUGAAAGGUUGUUGUUGAAUCAGGUGAAGACACCAGGAUUCUUGGCCCCCAGAAGAGAAUUCAAUCCAGGGCCAGAGAUGAGGCUUGAUCGCCCAGAGCUUUUGUGUAAUAAAGUUUUAUGAAAGUAUAAAGGAGAUAUAGAAAGCUUCUGACAUAGGCAUCAGAAGGGGGCAGAAAGAGUACCCCCUUGCUUGUGUUAACAAUGAAGUUAUAUACUCUCCAAUGAAUCCAAAGAAUGUGUGGAGGUUGUAAAGACCUCACCAGACCUACUCCCAUAAUUUACAUUUUAAGAUAACAGAAUUAGCCAGAAAGUAUAAUCCAG